AGGUUCAACUUUUUUGCUUCGACUCCAACAGUAGCACCUAAAUUUGGGCCCCCAAACCUAUUCUAGAGAGAAUGACAGAAGGGACCCAUUCAUCAGUGUCUUUUUCUUUUUCCUCUUUCUUCUUCCUUUGGACAUGAACACAAUUAGAGCAUCGAGCCGGUUAUCGUAGAGUGUCAUGCACAUACAAGGGUAGAGAGAGAGCAUGCGCUGGGGCUAGGACACGCGAUGGAGGAUGGGGGCUACCCUGUUGGCCCAACAGAAAUAGGGUCUGGAAGAGAAAUAUGGGUGC
rnacentral:lncRNA from 1 species